UUACUGUAGUGCUGCACAAGUAAUUUCUCACUCUCUAGAUAAGAAAUAGAUUCCCUUAUCUUUACAGCUCAUAUUUCCAUAUAUUCCACGAGAAUUUGUUCUCUGCCUAGCUAUAGGCACCUCCUAAUUAUAGACUAAUAGUAUAAGGAGAAUUGAAGUCUCAAAUUCUCUGUCCAUCAUUAUUUAAAGAACAUAAAUUUCUUUUCAUUUUCAUCCUUGAAGUUCAAUGACCAGUUAGAAACAGAUUGAAGUUCAAUUUGAAGAACCAAACCAACAGAAAUGGUGUGUUCCACUAAAAGAAGAUGUUUUUGUAACUUUCAUGAACAAGGCGAAUUUGACAACUCACAAGGCCUUGUGUAAAGGUCCAAUCAGUGCACAUUUGACUGGUCUCAAACAGAGACAGAUUAUCUAUUGAGAGCAGAAAUACGAGAUACGAGGUUUUCGGAGACCAAUUUACGAUGCAAGGGCAUUGCGGAGUAAGAAAUUACAUGGUUUGAGGUACUUUCGGACACGGAGACUAUUAGAUUUCAGAGUACUAUCAAUUAGAGACUAUGAAGAUUCGAGGCAUUUGGAGGCCAAUUCACAAGGCAAAGGAAUAGCGGAGUAAAUAAUUACAUGGUUUAAGAUCCAGGUGCAUUCGGAUACGGAGAUAGUUAGAUUUCAG